UACGAAGGGGGCUAGCGUUAAUCGGAAUUACUGGGCGUAAAGCGUGCGUAGACGGUAGCGUAAGUCGGGUGUGAAAGCCCCGGGCUCAACCUGGGAAUGGCAUUCGGGACUGCAAGGCUGGAGUGCGGCAGAGGAGACUGGAAUUCCUGGUGUAGCAGUGAAAUGCGUAGAUAUCAGGAGGAAUACCGAUGGCGAAGGCAGGUCUCUGGGCUGACACUGACGCUCAUGCACGAAAGCGUGGGGAGCAAACAGG
rnacentral:rRNA from 1 species